CACAUCACAAAAAUAUAAAUCUAAAAAAUUCAAAACUUAAAUUUUCUUAAAAAAUUUUGUGAACAAAUUGUGAAAGUGUAGAUAUAUAUAUAGACUUUCUGAUUGACAAGGCUCUGGAAGUGGAUUGACCAUCAGUGACUAUACUCGCUGGGAUAUUCUUGGAGCUUUUCUAGGAUUGACAAAGUUCAGCAAGUUGUUUAAGAAAUAUACAAAAAAAAAUCAUCGAGCUAUUUGGAAUAUUUUUGGGAUCUCAGCAAAUCAGUGUUCAAGUUUUAGGCAUCUGGCAUGAAUUAAAUAUAUCAAAUCAAUUGACAAUUGACCAAAGAAAAACAGAAAAACUAAAGAAAA